rnacentral:rRNA from 1 species
UACGUAGGGAGCAAGCGUUGUUCGGAUUUACUGGGCGUAAAGGGCGCGUAGGCGGCCUGUCAAGUCAACUGUGAAAUCUCCGGGCUUAACUCGGAACGGUCAGUUGAUACUGUCAGGCUAGAGUGCAGAAGGGGCAAUCGGAAUUCUUGGUGUAGCGGUGAAAUGCGUAGAUAUCGUAAGGAAGACCAGUGGCGAAGGCGGGUCUCUGGACAGUUCCUGACGCUGAGGCACGAAGGUCAGGGGAGCAAACGGG